rnacentral:rRNA from 1 species
GCUUACGGUCACACUACCUGAGAACUGACACCCGAUCUCGUCUGAUCCGGAAGCUAAGCAGGGUUUGCACUGGAUUAGUACUUGGAUGGGACACCUGGGAUACAGGUGCUGUAAGCU